rnacentral:rRNA from 1 species
AUUGAACGCUGGCGGCAGGCCUAACACAUGCAAGUCGAGCGGAUGAAGGGAGCUUGCUCCUGGAUUCAGCGGCGGACGGGUGAGUAAUGCCUAGGAAUCUGCCUGGUAGUGGGGGAUAACGUCCGGAAACGGGCGCUAAUACCGCAUACGCCCUGAGGGAGAAAGUGGGGGAUCUUCGGACCUCACGCUAUCAGAUGAGCCUAGGUCGGAUUAGCUAGUUGGUGGGGUAAAGGCCUACCAAGGCGACGAUCCGUAACUGGUCUGAGAGGAUGAUCCGUCACACUGGAACUGAGACACGGUCCAGACUCCUACGGGAGGCAGCAGUGGGGAAUAUUGGACAAUGGGCGAAAGCCUGAUCCAGCCAUGCCGCGUGUGUGAAGAAGGUCUUCGGAUUGUAAAGCACUUUAAGUUGGGAGGAAGGGCAGUAAGUUAAUACCUUGCUGUUUUGACGUUACCAACAGAAUAAGCACCGGCUAACUUCGUG